GUAAAUUAAAAGAGAACAACAGCGUUACAGUCAGUUGUGCUUUUCAGUUCUUCUCCAUGUUUAACCACUGACACACCUCUGCACUGGAGCUGAAGUGGACAGGUGCUGCUACAGAGAGAUGACGGUGUGUCCUGACUGCGCUGUGGAGUUCUGAUGAAGAUAAUCUCCUGUUUGUUCUGCCAGCGUGGAGUUGCACAGACAAAUACACGUGCAUGUCCUUUACUCUGAUCGCUCAUUUCAUGUUUCCACCUGUCUGUGCACGUGACCUUAUAUGGAGUUUUGUGGGCGUCACUACAUGCAAAUGAGUGUCAGCUGUGUCAGGAACACAGUAUCAACACACGCACGCAAGUACGAAGAAAAUCAGCUUUUACGAAACUUUUGUAAAUCUGGCGGAAGGUUUUAGUUCGAGUUUGACUCACGCAAACAUUUCCACACAAUGUUACUAAAAGAUUGACAAGUGAGGCCUAAGAGAUUUUAUAGUAAUGUCACUCUCAAACAUAUAUUUUGGAAAAGAUUGCUGUGAGGAAAAGAAGUUUUGUACAUGUUCUUGUAAAGAAUAAAGAUACUCCAGGAAGCGCUUGUUCUUUUUUUUCCCCCUAAAGGACCCUAAAGGAAAUCCAGCUUAAAACACACUACAAUAAAAAAUAUACACGAACUGUUCAUGCAUACGCUACAGACACGGUGGAGAGGGAUUAUAUUGUUUUCCUUUAACGCACAAUCGGAGACAAGGAGCUGGACUUCCUCAGUGUCAGAUCAUGACACGGCCUUGAGAGUGAGUCUAUGAUAAGGAAAGGUAGAACAAUGGCUUAUAAUGAACAAUAAUACACAAACACAUUACUGACAUUACUACAGUUGUAAAUUUCUAGAAACAAAGCAUGACUUCAGCCUUUCAGUGUAUCAGAUAACGAGGUUCCAUGAGGUCAAAGGUCACCUAGGGUGACUCCGAGUGUGUGUGCUGCAGAAACACACUUACUUAUUUAUGUGUCUUAAGUAAGGAGUAAACACUCCAUGUUGCACUUUUAAAGUCAAAUAAUGAAAUAAAUAAAUAAAGAUGUGAUGACGCAGAGUAACUGUUAGCACUGUGUCGUUGAUUAAUUUCCUAUAACAACACAUCAACACAAAGUGUUUCAUUCAGCAAUUUGGCAAUAAUUUUCCAACAAAUUUUAUUAAUUAAUAAACAACAUGUCACUUUUUUUUAUGUGUAUAGUGACAUUUAAUGUAUAUUUAACAAAAUAUACAUAAUUACAUUUAAUUGUCACGUUACUGAGAAACCGCAAAGCAUCCUGAAGGUGUUGGGAAACUUACAGCUUUAACUCUGACAGUAACAAAGCACUGACACUGGAGACUCCUUCCGUAAAUGUUAAACAAACACGUCCUCACAACCUAUCGACAAUGACAGAUGUCCGCUAUACACUUGUUGUUACUAUAGAAACAAUAAUGUAGUAUUAAUAUAAACCUGUGAUCUGCAGCUGCACUACUGUCAGAGCUGCUGUUAUAGAAAAUUCAUCAACACUUUCUGACCAAUCAGAAGCCAGAAUUCAGCAGCACUGUGGUGUUAUCUUGUUUUAUAGCCUUAAAAGUUUAGUCAUUACACCAUUUUUAAAAAAAAUACUUAUUUAUCAGAAAACACCUACCACACAGUUCACUUUGUGUGUCUAUAAUUACUGACUUCAGCCCAUCGGUUCCUCCUGCACAAAGUAUUGGCACCCCUGUGCUCAGGAGCACCAGUGAGCAGAUAUUAUAUCUGAGUGUUGCUUUAGUUUAGUGUGAUCUCCUACAAAUAAGGAUGAUAAAUAUUCUGAUUCUGAAAUCAAAGGUUGUGAAAAAAAACACCAAACGUUAAAAAGCCAUGUUUCUGCUCGGCUCUUAGCCUCCUCUCUUUCUGCCCAUCAUUCAAUUAGUUUGUAAUUGGCUUUUUCCGUGCACAUCACUAACAGGUUCAGAGUAAUGGAAAAUGACGCAUCUCCUACAACCCCAGGGAUGAGGGCAGUUACCAUGACAACCCAUUAUCAGUAUCUCAUAUGAAAGGUUGAUUAAGAGAAAAGAGAACUGCGGAGAACCACAGAGGAGAACACUUCUGCGAAUGAUACAGAAAACACUCGUAUUUUAUCGUACUCUUGUUUAAAGAAACGGUUCGGGGGAAAAAUUCAAUGUCACAGUCACAGUAAUCCCAUUUCCCUAAAUAUAAUCCAUCAGCCCGCUAUGUUACAAAGCCUUUUAUUUACCUAACCACUUUCCUUCUCCUUCUGCCGAGCUACACUCCUGAGCUGCCGGUGAUCCAGACCUCCCCCCCUUCACUCUGGACCUGUCCACCGGCAAUGCUUCAUACUGCCACGAAAACGCUUCAGCUGUUUUCCAUGGACUACACCAACACACAUUGUGCUCACACACACGCACACUACAGUGUAAACCCAUAUGAGGAUGGGUUCUCUGUUGAGCCUGGUUCCUCUCAAGGUUUCUUCCUAUCACCAUCUCAGGGAGUUUUUCCUUGCCACCGUCGCCCUGCUUGCUCAUCAGAGACGGCACACACACACACACUUCACUUUACUUUUGUUUGUGUAAAGCUGCUUUGAGACAAUGACCUUUGUAAAAAGCGCUAUACAAAUAAAAAUGAAUUGAAUUGAAUUCUUCUAACACGUCACAAUCCACCACGCUCCUUAAGAUCUCAAAACUCCGGACUUCUGGUAGUUCCCAGAAUAUCAAAGUCUACAAAAGGAGGUAGAGCGUUUUCGUAUUUAGCUCCUAAACUUUGGAAUAGCCUUCCUGACAGUGUUCGGGGCUCAGACACAGUCUCCCAGUUCAAACGUAGAUUAAAGACAUAUAUCUUUAGCCAGGAAUACACUUAACACUUAACACACACCAUAACCUUGUGCUUCAGUACAUCUGAUUAAUUGCACAUUAUGACUUAGGGCUUACUAAUAUUUGAACAGCAGCUACACUAAUUCCUUUUCCACUUGUUUCCCUUCUUCUACCCAUCCCGAGGCACAUAGAGAUUGUGCCAGCUCCAGUAGACGAGGCCAACCCUACGAGGAUCCUGAGGCAUCCAGAGAUGGACCUGCUCCAGCCGGUUUCUGCCUCGUGAGGAUCUGGGUGUUCAAAGCAACGCAGCUAACCCUAUGUGGACUUUGAGGACUUUGAGGAAGACAACAACCUACAUGACUAUAAAUAAAUACAGAAAGGACAUUGUUCAUAUCACACUCUCCAGUGUCACCCAGAUGAGGAUGGGUUCCCUUUUGAGUCUGGUUCCUCUCAAGGUUUCUUCCUCAUAUCAUCUAAGGGAGUUUUUCCUUGCCACAGUCGCCUCAGUCGCCUCAGGCUUGCUCACUAGGGAUAAUUCUGUCUAACAUCUAGGACUGUUUGCAUGUUUUUGUUUCUGUUUGCAUGCUUUUUGUUUCUUAUGUUCUGUAAAGCUGCUUUGAGACAAUAUUCAUUGUUUA